AGGAGGCUGUCAAGUUCCUUUGGAGGACCCUAUCGAGAUGUUUCUUAUACCGGAUUAUGUUGCAAAGGUUUUCGUGGGCAUAUAAUCAGGUGUUGCCAGAUUGGCUCGAUUCUGCCUCAGUGGAAGCCUUUGUUGCGCCUCGCCGAAAGGUUGUCAGGUCAGCUUCUAUUGGCACCAGACUAAUGGAGGCCGUCAAGAUGGAGGCUGUAGAGCUCCAGACUGUCGAGAUCCUGCCUGGUGUCAUGCUAGAAGCUAUGUUGCAGAAGCUGCACCUUUCGGCGGUGCAACUAACUAUUAUAGAAUUAGGUUUUUUGUGUGUGUAGUGGCUUUCAAAGACUGAUUUGCGGCGAGCUUAUUUAGAUGUUACUUUUGUUAUUAUUAGCUUUAUUUUAUCUGUCUCUAAAAAACCAUAAGAGUGUUAAUAUAUUUCGAUUCCCUCAUUGUGUA